UUGCUUUGUUUUUUAAUAAAAAAUAUUUUCAACUUUUCAUUUAGAAACAGUGGGUGAAUGUGCAAGUUUGUUACAAGGGUAUAUUGUGUGAUGCUGAGGUUUGAGGUACAGAUCCCAUCACCCAGGUAGUGAGCAUAGUACCCAAUAGGUAGUUUUUCAACCUAUCCUUCUGCCCUCCUCACCCAUAGUGUUCUAGUCUGCAGUGUCUGUUGUCCCCACCUUUGCAUCCUCAGGUACUCAAUGUUCAGCUCCCAUUUGUUAGAACAUGCAGUACUUGGUUUUCUGUUCUUAAUUUGCUUAGAUUAUGGCUUCCAGCUGCAUCCAAUUGGGAAAAGAAAUCAAACUAGCUCUCUUCGCUGAUAUG
rnacentral:antisense_RNA from 1 species